rnacentral:rRNA from 1 species
UACAGAGGGUGCGAGCGUUGUUCGGAAUUAUUGGGCGUAAAGGGCGCGUAGGCGGUGCGGUAAGUCACCUGUGAAAUCUCCUGGCUCAACUGGGAGCUUGCAGGCGAAACUGCCGUGCUGGAGUGUGGGAGAGGUGCGUGGAAUUCCCGGUGUAGCGGUGAAAUGCGCAGAUAUCAGGAGGAACACCAAUGGCGAAGGCAGCUCGCUGGGACGGUACUGACGCUGAGACGCGAAAGCGUGGGGAGCAAACAGG